AGGAAUAAUACUGCCUUUUCUUUCUGGCAUGGAUCAAGAGAAAAGAAAAUACAAGAAAACAGAGAGAAGAUCCUAUCUGCGACAAUUAAGAGCACUCUAAGAGGAAAACACAUCCCACCACAGCAAGGUACUUCUAUAGAAGGGUGAGCCCUCACAGAUGGAGCAAUGGUGCACGCACACCUGAACAAGGGAGGGGAAGGAGUUCUUAUCCCUGAUGCAUGUGGCCCCUGCUGCUGUGUCCUUCCCCUAUUGGCUAAGAGUCAAUGAAAUUUAUUUUGAGCUAUUUACAGCGUUUAAUAAUUGAGCAAGCUAUACUCCUAUAAACAAAAUUUGGAGCAUGUUUGUCUCUCUCUGUCUGCCUGGCAUCUACAGAAUUUGGAAACUAGUUUCUUUCCCAGAUUUUCUAAACUUUCCAGAGAAAAUGGUCUUCUCCCUGGCUCAGCAAGAAGAUGAACUUUAAACACUGAGAAACUGGUCAUCUCCCUGGCUCAACCAGAAGAUGAACUUUAAACACUACUCUCAAUGACUUGAUGUUCCCAUCACUACUCCUGUCAUAAAGGGAGGGGACUCAGAUAUUGAGAAUUUUAUGAUAGUGUGAACUGUCUGGUAUGUCAUUUAAGUAAGCCCGUUGCUGACAUAUUUUCCAUGUUAUUAGAAAGAGCUGAAGAGAGGGUUUGAGAUGGCUUCUUUAUUUUUUGUCUUUUGGGAAUUAAAGGAACCUGGUUCAACAAGGGCCUACACCUAAGUCUCUUGUUGUACCAGAGUACAAUUUAGGACUGCUCCUGAGGAAGGAAUUAGCUAGAAAUCUAGAGAGUAAGGGUAACAGAUUUACAAUAGAAUAACAGCCUCAGUAUUUUUGGUUCCUCUCCAGUAAAGAUCACAAAGAAUAUUGCUAAAUCGCUAAAACACCUUUGCAAUAACGUAAGGGCUUACAACUAUACACCAAUGUAGCUCAGUUACUAAACUGGAGUAAAAUAAUUUCUCUUGUGUAGAAAAAUUGGUUGGCUGUGGUUUUAUAGCAGAUUUGCAAUUAUUAAUAGUUAUGCCAAUAAUCGUUUAACAGUGCAUAUGUUAAUAUGUAUGGAAAGACAAUGUGUAUAGACAGAUGUGUAAAAUUGAAAAAUAAACAUAUAACAAGAGAGAAACAUCUAUCGAACAGACAAUAUACAUACACAUUAAACACAACAGCAGUUUUAGUGACCACAAUAUUUAUUUCUCAUUUUUACAUUGGUUACUUUACUGACAACUGAAAAUGACAGUUGGCAAUGCAGCUAACAGUUUCAAUAAAAGUAUAAAACAAAAGACUGUGUACAAAGUACGUGUCUUUCUGCUUUUGUAAUCUUCCGUUGGAAAAAAUUUACACACCUAAGUAACCAUCUGUUUUCUUCAAGAAAAAAUCAUUCUUAUUUCUCUCUCUCAUCUUGAAAACAGCUGUCAGCCAGGAGGGCAGAGCUGAAAUUUAUUGCCACAUCACAUGAAGCAUAGAACAGACUCCGCUACUCCUUGAGAUUCAAAACUUUGCCUCUCACAAAGUUACCUUUUAUUUUCCUCUUGUUUGUCACUCAUCUCCCCUAGUGUGCUCUUUUUAUUUCUUUUACUAUUAAUAAUAAAAUCUGUGGAUGACUGUAUUAUU
rnacentral:lncRNA from 1 species